GUAGGUGAACCUGCGGAAGGAUCAUUACAGUAGUCACCCAGGUUGCCGCAAGGCCUCCUGGGUAACCUACCACCCUUUGUUUAUUACACUUUGUUGCUUUGGCAAGCCUGCCCUCGGGCUGCUGGCUCCGGCCGGCGAGCGCUUGCCAGAGGACCUAAACUCUGUUUGUCUAUACUGUCUGAGUACUAUAUAAUAGUUAAAACUUUCAACAACGGAUCUCUUGGUUCUGGCAUCGAUGAAGAACGCAGCA
rnacentral:misc_RNA from 1 species